UACGUAGGGUGCGAGCGUUAAUCGGAAUUACUGGGCGUAAAGCGUGCGCAGGCGGUUCUCCAAGUCCGUUGUGAAAGCCCCGGGCUCAACCUGGGAAUGGCAGUGGAAACUAGGGGACUGGAAUCUGGCAGAGGGGGGGUGGAAUGCCGCGUGUAGCAGUGAAAUGCGUAGAGAUGCGGCGGAACACCGAUGGCGAAGGCAGCCCCCCUGGGUUAACACUGACGCUCAGGCACGAAAGCGUGGGGAGCAAACAGG
rnacentral:rRNA from 1 species